GUUCCUACGGGACGCAGCAGUGGGGAAUAUUGCACAAUGGGCGAAAGCCUGAUGCAGCAACGCCGCGUGAAGGAAGAAGGCCUUCGGGUCGUAAACUUCUGUCCUUGGGGAAGAAGAACUGACGGUACCCAAGGAGGAAGCCCCGGCUAACUACGUGCCAGCAGCCGCGGUAAUACGUAGGGGGCAAGCGUUAUCCGGAUUUACUGGGUGUAAAGGGAGCGUAGACGGAAUUGCAAGUCUGAUGUGAAAAUCCGGGGCCCAACCCCGGAAGUGCAUUGGAAACUGUAUUUCUAGAGUGUCGGAGG
rnacentral:rRNA from 1 species